ensembl:lncRNA
CGGGCUGCAAAUCUCAUCAUAUCAUAUGACUCCGAGCAGUAGCCUUAAAAUCAAUGGUAAACAUUAUAAGACACUAAAGAAAAUCAUGGGAACUUUUUCUUAUCUGAGUCAACACAUCCCCUGGUACCAACGUGAUGAAAUAGCCCCUGCCAGAUAUAAUCCUUCCUUUCUUCAAGGGUGAACCAAAUUGUGGACUGGCAGAUGCUCAAGUCACCAGCUUUAAUCACAAUUUAAUCACGAGUUCAAUCAGCAAGCUGGAAGUUUGAUCUUGCUAAGUCAUUUUCAGCUGAUUUCAUGUGUGCAACAUAGUUUCAUAAAAAGGUUAAUUCCUCUGGGUUGGUAAAUCUGUGUCUUGCAAUCAGUUGCCUUUAUAUUAAAUUCUAAAUUUUAAAUAUUAAAGUUGAUAUUAUCACAUAAGCCAGCUGAACACUUUGCUAGCAUCUAUAAAGCAAUAUGUAUCUUAACACAGAUUUACUUUGGCUCUAACAUUUUACUUUUUCUUAAAUUUCCUUGGCUGCUUUUGAAGAACCAUUUCCAAGAACUGGUUGCUGGAUAGCAAUUUUUCAUCUGGGAAUUGCCUCAGGCUCUUUUUGCCCAAGUAUUGCACAGCAUUUGGAGAACACACACACAAGACAUUUGAAGUAGGUGGAUAGUUCUUAAAAUUUCAUUUUCUGUGGAUAUCCUUCAAAUUAUUCAUCAAAGCAGACUGUGUGUAUAUGUGCAAAGGAAGGCUUUCCCAAGGCUCCCUCUCACCAGUUGUGCAUCCUGCACUCCUGCCAGCCAGUAGUGAUGGUUUCUCCCUGCUGCUCCACUCAGCAAUGGAAAGUUAUCUGAAGCCUUAUUUUCAGAUGCUGAAACUUUUACAAGAGAGCCCAGUAUGUGUGAAAACACACAGGCUAUAAAAGAGAGAAAGAGGAAAAAUCCUGAUUUCACCCCUUCCUGCCCUUCAUUGCAGUGAGAGAUAGCAAUCCCUUAGUGGUUAUUUGUACUCAACACUUCACUGUGAAACCAUAGUCUUGGCUUACCAAAAGCAUAAUUUGCACUUCAAAAUACUUGGAUUUUUGAAACCUGUGCAAAUAGCCCUUAAGGCUCAGCUGUGUUGGUAGUAGAGUCUGUGGUCUCUGGCUCCUAAACUCUGCUAUAUUAUUUCGGCAACUAAGAUGUCCCACAGCUGUCUCCAUGCCUUUUGUCCCCCAAGGAUUUCUAUUUCUCUGCAGAGACAAAGAGGUGCAGAAUCCCAUUUAAAUGAGGAGAGGAGAGGAUCCUUCGCUUUUCCCAAAGCCUUGGUUGGAUAAAAGUCUGGAGAGGCUUGGGUCACAAAUGGUCAGUUUAUGUUGAUUUACUUCCAUCUAUCUUUGUGAUCUUACAGAAAUAUGGAUGAGAAUUAUUAAUGCUACUUGCAAAAAUAGCAAAGUGAGAAAAAAUGAAACCAAGUAAGCAAAUACACAAGAUUUUCUCUAACUACUAGAAAUGAAAAAGAAGUAAUUAAAAGAAAGAAAAUAAAGUCCUGAGAAAAUUUAAUUUAAAUAUUAGAUGAUGGUUCUAUACUUAAAAUCAGAAGAGCCAAGGCACUCCAAUAGUUUCAGGUAGUAAGGGAUGCAAAGAGCAAUCCUGGCAAUUUUGUACGUGUGAAAGGAAGGAUAGAGUAAAUCUCUGAAUUCUCAGAGACAAGAAGACAAAUACUCACACAGAAACCACAGAAAAUACUUUCUAUAUUUUUUCUCUUUAAAGAAGGAUUAGCCAAGGCCUGACUGACAAGUAAAAUUGGUUUAUAAAGAGUAGAGCAGAGACGGAACAGGACAAGAAUGUGUCCAAAGAUGAGAUGAGGUAAAUCUGAGGUAUGCCAGAGCCUGAAGAAACCUGUGCAGGAGGAGCUAUGAAGUGAGGCCAGGGCAGCUGACCUAAACCCACCAAAGAGACAUUCCAUACUGUAUGGUGUUAUAGUCAGCAUAAAAGUGAGGAAAGAGGAAGAAGGGGGGCUAUCAUAAUAAAAUGUUGUUCCUUUAAACAGUUGUUAUUUGUAUUGAGACCUUGCUUCCCAAGAUAUAGCUGCCCAUCAGAGUGAAAACACCACAGCAAGUAAGAACAUCUCAUCUCCUUGCUCAAUGAAAACCAACCUUGACCAAGGAAAUGACAGCUGGAAUACCAAAAAGAUGCUGGUACAGGCUGCCCAGAGAAGUUUUGGAUGCCUCAUCCCUGGAGGUGUUCAAAGCCAGGUUGGAUGGGGCCCUGGACAGCCUGCUCUGGUGUGUGAUUUAGCAGUUGGCAACUCUACUCAUGGCAGAGAGGUUGAAACUAUAUGAUCUGUGAGGUCCCUUCCAAUCCAAGCCAUUCUACGACUCUGCCAGGGCAUCUCCCAUGACAUUCCCAUGCUACAUGAGCAUAACACGUGGACUGAACACAUCUAAACCCACAGCAGUGAUGAGCAACAUCAACAAAGGAAGACUUAGCAGCAUGGACCAGUUAAGUGUUUUGGACUGCCAGAUUUAAAAUGCAUAAGAUAACUGCAUGGUGUUGAAUUAGAUUGAGGUAUUUAUUAUUAUUGUUAUUAUUUUCUGUUUCUUGGUGAUCCUGCUCUAUUUUACCCUUUGGAUAAUGAGAACCCAUUCAUUUUCUUCUUGACUUUGGGUUCUUACCACCUACCAUCUCCUGAAAAAGGCUCUCCAUAUUCCUUGAAGACAAUGUGGUUUUUUUUUUUUCCCUCUGUUUGAAAUAGCAAAUAAACUCUUUUGUUACAAAAAAAGGGUGUCUUGGAGCACUGGGAAUUUUCCAGCCUGGAAACUGGGAAUUUCCACUGCAAUGCCUAGUGGCAAUUGUCACCUUGUCCCAUGCACAACUGGCUGAAAAGUUCUGUGUGCAACAUGGCACUGGCUAACAUGCUGCAGCCUUUGCUGUGUCUGUGCUCUAAUUCUCAAGCACUCCAGGGCAAGGCGGUGUGUUGCAGGGCUUCCUCAUUUCAAAGGCACGGAGCUCUGGGGAGCUGCUGGCUCAGGAUCAGGUGGGAUACUUGGUGCUGGGCCAAGGGCUCUAUCUGAUUUGCAUCUGCUUCUCCUUGCACUGAGCUGAGAAGGAAACUUGAGUGCAGGAAAUAGUGUUCUUUUCCAUGUCCCAUGCCUCUUUUAAUUUUUUUUAAUUUUCCUUUUUUUUAGGUCUAUUACAUUUUUGAAAAGUUGCCACAGCCUUGGAUGCCUUUACAGCAGUGCUGUACAAUCAUAGGUUGAAAAACUCAGGCUUUGCUUUGUAGCAGCUGCUGUUGGGUGGGAUCCAUCUCACUUAUCUUUAGUUGAGAUAUCUUUUGUCUCCUGUUAUAGUCAGUGGAGGAAAAUAGCCUCUUGGAGGACACAUUCCUCUGAUCUAUUCUGGUCUGAGAUGAAGUGAGUCCUUCCCAUCUCCAGCUGUAGGUGUCCCUGUUCAUUGCAGGGGAAUUGGACCAAAUGAAAAUCAACUAGUCAAAUUCCUCUGCAAUGAACAGGGACAUCUACAUGAACAGAGACUGACAUAGAUCCCUUUCAACUCAAACGAUUCUAUGAUUUUAUGAUUCUAUGAUGACAAGCAAUUCAGUGGCAGUCCUCUGUGUCAGAAAAGUCAUGUGAAAAUAUUUGCUAAUUUUUACAGCAUUACAUUGGUUCUUCCACUCACUUGCCACUUAAGGAUUCAGGUGUUUUGUAUCCCCAAGUCCCCAGUGUAAUGCAAAGGAUAAGGAAUGUCUGCAGACAGUUACUGUGACAUGAGUGGGAGGAGGACACAGAGAUCUGCCCUUUUCAGGAUGACACGUACAUUUUUUAUUUGAAUUUAUUUCUCAUCUGUAGAGAAGUUAUUUCUGAAAACAAGGGCCCUUGAGAAAAUUUUCUUUAACUGAUAGUUCAAACAGGUUUCAUUCAUAAUGCCAUCAGAAUGGAUCUCUGUUGAUUAAAGAGUAAGUGGUGCUUAUUUUACCAAAUUAUCCUUUUUUUUUUUUCUUUUUAAUUGUUUUUAAAAGAUUUGACGUAUUUAACAUUCACUUCUAGGUUAUGUUCAUAAGCAUGUGGCCAGCACCAAUUUUAAUAUCAACCAAGACUUUGUAUUGCUUUAUACUCUGAGGAGUAGUUAUCAAGAUAACAACUCUAUAUUUUUAGUAAGUGCUUUAGCUACAUUAUCAUGAGAUGUUCAGUUUCCAGCUCUGAAUGAAUGGGAACAACCUCAUACCUUACAGGACCUGUGCUAUUAUUUGCAUGCCAUGUUUGGCUUGGAGCUGGGGCUCUGAGACAGUGUUUGCACAGCUCACAUUUGGCCACAUGAGCCAGUGAGGCAGGCAGCUAAGGCUCCCAGGGCUGUGUCAUGCUGUGUGGAUAUGCAGAAAGAGGCAGGUCUCAGCCUCCCUUCCUCCCUCCUCUUCCUUAGAACACCCCAGCUGUGCAAAUCAGUCCAUUAGUGGACAUCUCCUUCAUCCUGCAAGGCUAUCCCUUCUCUUGUGGUAAGAGGCAAGUGUGAAGGAACCUCCUAUAGGUCCCACCAUCCCUACAGAAAUGAUUAUCCUACAUCAGGAUGGACCCCAUUGACAUCCUAUAUCACCCUACAUCCCUACAAGGAUGAUGGUUAUACAUCACCCUAGAUUCCUGCAGUGCCUAGAGACUCCACUGAUGACAGGGCAGCUCAUCUUUACCAACUCAAGAAAUUAGAGGACAGACCCUGCUCCUUAGUCCUGCAAAUUGCUCAACAGCUGAGAAAUCACUUUCCUACUCUGUUGGUAGGGUAAAAAGCCCAUCCCAGACCAAUUAAUUCAUAUACUGUUUGUAGAACUCCAUACUGAUGGGAGAAUGAUUUGAUGUUUAAGGGUGGACAGAAACUCCUGUUUUAGUGACUGGCUUUGCUACAGUCUUAGCACAUUAUCUUGGGAGUUUUGCAAAUAAUUAAUAGAAUUAUAGAAUCAGUAAGAUUGGAAAAGAUCGCUAAGAUCAUUUAGUCCCACCAUCAACCCAUCACCACCAUGCCCACUGAACAACAUCCCUAAAUUACCAGCAUGAUUGGGUGUACCUUUAAUUCAGACCAUUUUGCCGAUUAUGCGUAUAGAGAAACUUCUAAAACCCGGCACAACUGAUGAGGGUGAUGAACUGCAGAGAGGCUGGGAUUUUUUGAAUUGACUUUAGCACUGAAAUGAGGGGGAACAGCCAAAGAUUACCUAACUGGAGUACAAGUACUUACAUAAGCAUAACCGGAGGUAGUGCUUUGGAUUUCCCGAGUGUUCCUUCCAAUAGGAUACUGGCAACACUGCAGCACAUACAAAACUCUAUGAUAGUGAGGCUGUGACUGCUGGGGCAACAGGAGAAAGCAAUGGGGAAAUUCAAGGAAAAUAGCUAGAAGGAACUAAGAAGUUACCUUUUAAGGAAGUGACAAGACCAGCUGCCCAGAUGAAGUGACUCUACACCAAUGCAUGCGGCUUGGGAAACAAACAGGAGGAACUAGAAGCUACUGUGCUGCUUGAAAACUAUGAUAUAGUUGUCAUCACCGAAACCUGUUGGGAUGAUUCCCUUGACUGGAGUGUGGUUAUCAAUGGCUACAAGCUGUUCAGAAGGAACAGGUGAGGAAGGAGAGGUGGGGGUGUUCCUAUCUACAUCAAGAAAGGAAUAGAAUGUGAAGUUAUCCCUAAAGAACAGUCAUGAGCAAGUCAAGAGCCAAUGGGUGACAAUUAGAGACUGAGGCAGCAAAGGGAGCCUUGUGGUUGGUGUCUACUACAGGCCACCAGAUCAGUCAGAGCCUGUCUCCCUCCAGCUACGUGAGAUUUUGGGAUUGUAAGUGCUUAUUCUGCUGGGGGAACUUCAUAUCAUAGAAUCAUAGAAUGGCUUGGGUUGGAAGAGACCUCAAGGGUCAUCAAGCUCCAACCCCCUGCUACAGGCAGGGCUGCCAACCUCCAUAUCUAAUGCUGGACUCGAGCCACCAUCUGCUGGAAAAGUAGCACAGUGAGCUGUAGGCAAUCCAGAAGGCUCCUGGAAUGCAUUGAGGAUAACUUCCUGAGUCAAGUAGUUGGCAGCCCCACCAAGGGGAAUGUAAUACUGGACCUAUUGCUCACCAGUGCAAAUGAACUGAUUGUUGAUAUCAGGAUUGGAGACUGCCCGGGCUGUAGUGACCAUGCUAUGGUUGAAGUCAUGCUCCAGAGGGACAUGGGACAGGUGAAGAGUAAAAUUAAGAAGCUGAACUUUAGGAAAGCUAACUUUCAGCUCUUCAGGGAGUUAGUCAACAAAAUGCCCUGGGACUGUCCUCAUGGGCAGGGGUGCGGAGCAGAGCUGGUAGAUCUUUCAGGGGGGUUUCUUCAGGGCACAAAGCUCUCCAUCCCCAGGUGAAGCAAGUCAGGAAAGGAAGGCAAGUGACCGGCAUGGCUGAACUGGGACCUGCUGGUCCAAAUGAAGAGCAAGAAGAAAAUGCACAGGCAGUAGAAACAGGGACAGGUACUGUGGGAAGACUGUAAGGAAGCUGCUAGACUCUGUGUAUGGAUGGGGUCAAGAAAGCCAAGGCACAGCUUGAACUGAACUUGGCUAGUGAUGCCAAAAAGAACAAGAAAGGCUUCUACAGGUACCUCAACCAGAAAAGGAAAGACCAGGAGGGCAUAUCCUCCCCUAGUGAGUGACACAGGCAGGCUGGUAACAACAGACAAGGAGAAGGCCGAGGUAAUUAUUAUUAUUAUUAUUAUUUUUUUACCAUGGUCUUCCCUGAUAACUUCUCACCACACAGUUCUCAAACAUUUGGUUUGGUAGGAGGAGAUCAGGGAAGCAAAGUCCCUCCCACAGUAAGUGAAGAUCAGGUUCAUGACCACCUGAGAAACCUGAACAUCCACAAGUCUGUGGGUCCUGUUGAGAUGCAUCCCACAGUCCUGAGGGAAUUGGCUGAUGUGGUUGCCAAGACACUCUCUAAGAUACUUGAAAAGUUGUGGCAAUCAAAUGAAGUCCCUGGUGACUGGAAAAAAGGAAACAUCAUAUCCAUCUUUAAAAAGGGUAAAAAGGAAGAUCCUGGGAACUACCGACCUGUCAGUCUCACCUCUGUGCCAGGGAAGAUCAUGGAACAGAUCCUCCUGGAAGCAAUGCUAAGGCACAUGGAAGGCAGGGAGGCAAUACAGGAGAACCAGCAUGGCUUCACCAAGGGCAAAUCCUGCUUGAUUAACCUAGUGGCCUUCUAUGAUGGUGUCAUUGCAUCAGUGGACAAGGGAAGAGCUACUGAUGUCAUCUAUCUGGACUGCAGUAAGACCUUUGACACAUGUCCCUCCUCUGAACGUGCUCCAACAAGUCCACAUCUCUCCUGUACUGAGGACUCCACAUCUGGAGGAUGUACUCCAGGUGAGGUCAUACCAUCAACAAGAAGUGGAUUCAAGGUUCCAAAUUCGCUUUUCAGAUAAAUGUCUUCUUUGAAAAUGAAACUUUCUUCUUAAACAGUGAAAGAGAAGUUAAAGUACAAUUUCAGCUUACUCUCUGUACCUCCCAGCAUAGGGCUGAACUUUGGGAGCACAUUAUGUGCAGAUUUGUGGCUUGGACACAUACUCUGUGAGAACAGGAUGGCUAGAUCCAAUUGCCUUCAGGUUUGAGAGAAGAUUUGAAUUUGUGGCCACUGUGGCCUGAGCAGAAUGCCUGAGGUCUGAAUUGAAAGAGAAUGGAUUUAGCUUUACAACAAGAUGCCUUUUCCAGGAAUAAUGUUGGUUAAGAGGUGCUUGCCAAUGUUUCUUAUACCUUUCCCCUUUGGGAAGAUCAGGGUCCUGACCAGACAAAAAAAGGGAUGAAGAAAAAAAGAACCAAAUACAAUUUUGUUCUUUACAGUUCUUCUGUCUCCCUGACAGGUCUGAGAGGUCCUCAGAGGAAAAUAAGUCUUUUUCUCUUCACGGCAGUGGUUUUGGAUGAGCCCUUUCAGAUCUUUUGCUGGAUGUGAGAACCUGAUUUUUGGGUAACUAUGAGAAAAAGAUCAGUUAGGAAAUGGGGACUUAACCAAAUGACAAAAUGUUAAGUAUUCACAAAAUUCACGUAGCAUGAACCAGAGAGGGCCUUAAUUAUUUUUCCCUGAGUUCUAUAGUUCACUGAGAGAGUCUUGAAAUAAAAUACUAAUUUGCCAAAACCUGGCAAAUAUGCACCACUUGCACCGCUUGCAGGCCUUUCUUCAAUUAGCACUUGAAAACCAUGCGUUCCUUCACAAGCCAUCCUUGAUGUUUUAUAAAUGUUAUCGUUAAAACAUCAUCUCUACUUCCUUUAAUGCAUUUUUUAGAGCUGCAGUAAAGAUAUUAUUUCAGUUCAGGCUGCAGACUCUCAUCCUGACAAGAGACCUCAGUUACCUCUCAUAGGAUAUUUCUAAAACAGCAAAUGCUACCUAACUUUAAGCUAAUAGCCUGCAAGAAGGCUCUAUCUGUAUUUACAGUGCAAUCUUAGCUGCAGAAGUAUGGGUUAGGAGCAUGACAAAAGUAAGUGCACAGAUACAGCAAAUCUUUCAGAAGAGGGCUUGAUCCCCUGGCUGGGUUUCACCCUUUGGAUUAGUGGGGGUGUUUCCUUCCAGAAAAACACUUGAGUGUGCAGGAAGUGAGGUGGUCAUGGUUUUGGGACUGAAAAUCAUAGAAUCAUAUAAUCAUUGAGGUUGGAAAAUGCCACUAAGGAUCAUCUAGUCCAACUCUCAACCCAUGCCUGUGACUUCUCUAGACCAUGUCCCUGAGUGUCCCAUCUAUCCUUUCCUUGAAAACCUCCAGGGAGUGUGACUCCACCACAUCCCUGGGCAGUCUGUUCCAGGCUGAUGUAAUAAAUACUGCAACUUAGGAAUCAGGAAGAAGCCUGACUCCAGCCUGGAAACAUCCAUUAAAUCUACCCCAUGCUAACUUCCACAGUGUCUUCCCAUGGAUGGCUAAAAACCCAUCAAUUCUCUGAGAAGUUGUGUUUGUUACACCCCUCCCCCAUCUCUGAUGAGAAACACGCAUAUACAUUCUUGAGGGUAAAAAUUACAUGUAGAAACAGCUACAUUCUUGGUAGCCAUAAGAGAAGCACAAAGGAGUUCAUAAUGAUCAUAUUAGAAGUGAAAUGAGUGGGAGGAACAAAUACAAUAAGAAUCGCGUUACGUUUCUUAGAAUCUUAUGAGUCCCAGACCAAUACAUCAUCCAACAAAUGAACUUUAGUUUUGUACACUAGAAGACAAAUGCUGCCCAAGACAGAAGAAUGUGUUCGUCCACUGUCAUGGCUUUACGAUUUUUGUUUUCAGUAUUCCACAUCAUGAUAUCAUGUAGUGCACUGGGAGUUAAAGAGUUAAUGCCCCAGUUCCAUGGACUGUCAACAGUUCC